AACGAACGCUGGCGGCAGGCUUAACACAUGCAAGUCGAACGCUCGUAGCAAUACGGGAGUGGCGGACGGGUGAGUAACGCGUGGGAACGUGCCCUGAGGUACGGAAUAACUGCGGGAAACUGCAGCUAAUACCGUAUGAGCCCCGCAAGGGGGAAAGAUUUAUCGCCUUGGGAGCGGCCCGCGUCGGAUUAGCUAGUUGGUGGGGUAACGGCCUACCAAGGCUUCGAUCCGUAGCUGGUCUGAGAGGACGAUCAGCCACACUGGGACUGAGACACGGCCCAGACUCCUACGGGAGGCAGCAGUGGGGAAUCUUGCGCAAUGGGGGCAACCCUGACGCAGCCAUGCCGCGUGAAUGAUGAAGGCCUUAGGGUUGUAAAGUUCUUUGCCCGUGACGAUGAUGACGGUAACGGGAGAAUAAGCUCCGGCUAACUUCGUGCCAGCAGCCGCGGUAAU
rnacentral:rRNA from 1 species